GUGUAUGGAAGUUCUAGGCCAGGGACUGAAUUUGAGCUGCAGCUGUGACGUAUUCUGAAACACAGAUCCCUUAACCCACUGGGCUGGGCCAGGGAUUGAACAUGUGCAUGUGCAGUGACCCAAGCCACUACAGUCAAAUUCUUAACCCACCAUGCCACAGCAGGCACUCCAAUAAGGCCAUAUUUUGAGGUGGGGGAGAAGGACUUCAACUGGAGGUACUGAGGGGUUAGGAAUGCAACACUUUUUUUUUAUUGGGGGGGGGUGUGCAAUCCAACCCAUAACACAGAGUAACAGAAUCAAUAAAAGAAAGGUGAAAACCAGGCAGGAGUUUUGCAGGAAGGGGUUUGGUAAUCUAAGGCUGUCUUAUUUCAAGCCCUUAUUGCCUAGUGCACAGGUAGGUUGAAGUGGAUUUGGAAGAGGAAGGUAAUGUUUAACACAAGAUUAUCUGAGGGCACAAUCUCUUCCUUUACUAACUCCAGUGACAGCCUGCUGAGGGAACCCAGGCCAACUAAGCCAAAUGUAAAAAUGUAGGCACAGAGUCAUUGGUUAGAACAAGCUUCUGUGCUUAUCACCUAGACAGGCUGACUGACAUUCAAGAGCUGGACUUGAUGGAAGCUAAAGACCAGUGGACAAAUGAGUCUGCUCAGGCAAAGAACCUGACAUAUUGGGAAGGAAAGACAUUAUUCCAUUAUUCCUCCUCCUUCCAGCGCUCAUUUUCAGGCAGCCCAACACUGCACAUUUUCAGCUCUUUGGAGUAAAGCAUUUAUUAGCAAGAGAUUGCAUGUUGUUUCAGACGGAAAGAGACAUGGUACUGCUUUUCCACCCUUCCUUCAAUCAGCAUGGCUAUUUUCCAGUAUUAAUAAAAAGUUCUGUUUCUGCAAACUAACCUCAAACUCCAUUCUCUCUUCUGAGUUCCAAGGAUUUGAUGACAAACUUGGCAUACUAAAUUUUAUAGAUCCAAAUCAAUGCUGAACACAAAAGAAAGCCCAGUGCCCUAUGGUAAUAUAAGAACAUGAUUAUUUUUGGACUGAAACUGUUUAACACAAGCACAGCUGCAAAGGUCUUGUUCCACUUCCAGAAGAUCGUCUUUAUAUUCCAAAUGUAUCCAAGAGUCGUAGAAACCAAGCUCAGACAGCAUUAUUAAUAUGAAAUAAAGUUAUGUCACACUUGGUUUUCGAAGAUAGUAAAUCCACCAACACCAGUAAAAUUAAAUAAAUAUUUGAAGUCUGAAGUUAACAUCUAUGAGAGAGCCAGGAAAAAUGAAAAUUUCAAAUCUGGUUUAGGAAAAAAAAAAAUCUUUUUCAUUAGUUUUUCCUCCCUGACCAUUUAAGGUUAACGACAUACUGACUACAGAAAUGUUAUUUGUUCAAUGAUGAAACUUCCAUCUAAACUGAAAUGAUUAAGAAUAAAUACAUGCUCCUGUAAAACUGACUUACACUGGGCGGUAUGCUGCCAUAAUGAAUUUUUGGAUACACCCAGUCUGAUCAUGCCACUUCUAUGUUUAAAUGAUUUACUCAUGCCACACUGCAUUCAAGACACCUCUCAGAAAGCCUUUCAGAAAAUGAUUGCAGCCUGAGCCUUCCGUGUUUUCUCUAAACUUCACUCACCACACCUUUCCAACCCUCUUCCAGGAUCCCAUCACACUCCUCUCUUCUGGGCACAUUGUACGUUUAUCGGUUUUUCUCUCUAUGAACUGUGGGCUUCCUGACUCCGGGGCUCAGUAUUCCAUGAAAGUCUCUGAAAUGAAUUGGGUGAUCCUGUAAUGUGCUACUUUGUGGUCACCAUUGUUGCAGCUGUUACCAUCGUUUUAUCCUGGGAGGAAUACAAGUCCACUUCCCUUACCAGCAGCAUGCUUCUCUAAGAAGAGACACUCAAGUAACUCAAGCUAUUUGGUCAACAGAUAUGUAAUAAAUAAUGUGGAGGAGUUCCCACUGUGGCUCAGUGGGUUAAGAACCCAGCGCUGUCUCUCUGGGGAUGCAGGUUCAAUCCCUGGCCUCGCUCAGUGGUUAAGGAUCCAGCCUUGCCACAAGCUGCAGUGUAGUUUGCAGAUGCAGCUUGGAUCUGGCGUUGCUGUGGCUGUGGUGUAGGCCUCUGCUGCUGCGCUGAUUGAACCCCUAGCCUGGGAAUUUCCAUAUGCUGCAGGGGUGACCAUAUAAAGAAAGAAAUUUAACUAAUUAAAUAAUAUUGAACGAAAAAGUGAAAGUUAUCACAAGACUGUCAUUGACUAUGUCUCACAUAUGAUAUGAUAAUUGUGUUUGCCAAAAACAACUAACAUAAUUAACCUGUGCUUAUAAAAAAAAAUCAGGCUCAGUAUAAGAAAGAGAAUAGUUGUGGUAUGUUUUACACUGGAUUAGUGAUUCUGUAAGAGAAUUUGCAAAAUUUUGGACACAUAUUGUUUAAUGACUUUUUAUUUUCCUAGAAGUUUCUAAGUUCAUUUCAGAACUCCUAGGAAAAAUGUAAGCCAAAAAUAUCUAAAUUAUCUGUCAUUCUAGCCUUGGGAAAUAACAUUUGUUGGUCAUUUUUUGCAUUUCUUUUCCAGUCUCUUUCCCUUUCUCUCUCUCUUUCAAAAUGAGCAUCAAUAUUUAAAAGAGAUGACGACAGACUAGACUACAUCUAUGUAAUGUUUACAUGACGUUGAAGAAUCUAGAAACAAUUACCAACACAAAAAAGAAGAGAGAAAUGGCUUUUUCAAAAGGCAUAAUGACUAUCUUUCAAUAUCUACAAGAUCACCAUGCAGAAGAGAAAUUAAGCUCAAAUCUACAGGACUUUUGAGAGUAGAGCUAGAAUCAAAAAGGGACUAAGCUGCAUUUCAGUUUAAUAUAAGAAAUAACUUUCUCUGUUUCGGCUUUGUGAUAACUGAAGUAGCUUCCUCUUCAAAAAGUGGGUUUCUUUAACAUGGAGGUAAAUAAACUGAAGCUGAUUGCCUAUUUAUUGAGAAUAUUAGAAAAAAUGACACAUACAUCAAGUAAAUCCUGGAGAUUACCUGGAGAUGACCUCUCAAAUUCUUCCACGUAUGAGAUUUGAUGAUUCUGUGACAAUGGAGUUUUUAAAUUUAUUAUAAAGAUUAUUUCCAAAUGACUUAGUCUCUUUUAUUCUCAGUGAGAAAUAAUUUAUUAAAAGGAAGGUAAGUCCUUUUAUAUGUGCUUAACAAAUAUAUACACAUUUAUAUAUACAUAAUAUCUAAAAUUCCACUAUGCAAAAAGGAUGAGGCAUAUAUAUAUGUGUGCCUAUGUACAUAUAUAUAUAUAUAUAUAUUCAACAAAAGGCAUGUACUCGUGUGAUAGCAUACUUUACAACUAUGAGAAUGAACAAAACACUAUUAUAUGUAAAAACAUGAAUGACUCUCACAGACAUCAGGUUGAGCAGAAGACACAAAAAAGUAAAUAAAAGCAGACAAAACUAAUGCACUGUAUUAGAAGCAAGGAUAAGGGUUACCCUUUUGAUGGGUUUUAACUCAAAAUGGGCAUGAGAGGGCUGCUGGUUCCUUGAUCUAAGUGCUGUUUACACAGAUGUGUUUAAUUUUUGAGAAUACAUUGAAGUGGACAUAUGAUACGUGCAUUUUUCUGUACAUGUGUUGUACGUCAAUACAAAGUUUUAAAAAUGGCUGCUGUGUCCAUUGGUUUUCCAUAUUCAAUACUAUAUAAAAUGCCAUUGCAGCAAAGUCACAGGAUUUAUAUUUUAAAGAAUUAUUCUAAAUAAGGUGAAAAGUUUAAAAAGCUUUUCUAAAAACUUAUGAAUGAAAAUAACAUGCUUGGAGACAAAACACUGGCAAUGAACUCUAGUCUCCUUAACGUGUUUCAUUUAAUUUGCCCUGAAAUCCAUGUGCAGUAACAACUAAUUAUAGAUCUCUUUUAGAUUUGUUUGCAUACUACUUUAAAAAUAUAUUGGUUUAUUUGUCACAGGAACUCUGGCAGAAAUUAAACCUCCUAGAAUUUUUUAAGCCUUUUCACUUAUAAAAUUAUACAGCCAUACUACCAUGCUUCCAAAAAGCCUUCUUCUUACUCAGUAAAGCAGGUGCACCAAUUUAUCAGGUCACAGCCACAGCCAUUCAGAUAAUCUCUAUGAAAACAAGAUUCCAACUGCCAAAUUCUUUAUACUUUCCAAAGCCAACAGAAUAGGUCUGGAUACUACUCCCGGAAAAAAUAUUAAUACCGUACCGUGUAAUUGACAAAAUAAUAUUAUUUUGCAAGUACUGGAGGCUUUGUUCUGUGACAGAGGUUGGCAAAUGUUUUCUGAAAAUAUUCAGAGGGUAAAUAUUUAGGCUUUGCAGGUCACGUGGUCUCCAUCACAACUACUCAGUUCUGCUCUUGCAGUGUGAAAGUACCCAUAGACAAUACAAAAACAAAUGAGCCUGUUUUAUGGGCUGUGUUCCAGUAAAACUUUAUUUACCAAAACCUCGAUUGGGACUGAUUUGGCCUGUGGACUAGAGCAUUCGAGUCCAGUUCCAGGGAAAGGAAAAGGUGUUUUGCUUUGUUUUAUUUCGUUUUCCUAGUGGCUCUUCAACCAGUAGUAUGUGUAUCGUCAUCAGUCAGCAGGUCCUAAUCUGAGAUAACUGGAUUUGGGUAUCCUUAAGUUUUUCUCAGUAUUAAAGUUUAAUAAGGAAGAUAAUUCAUUUAUCUAGUAUGUACGGACUAACUAACAUGUAAGUCGUGCUUUUCACUAGAAUUCCCCCAGUUUCUAAGAAUACAAGCUAUAGAAGAAUACUUUAUACAAAUUCUUUAAGACUGAAAAUUGGGGAAAACUUUCUUUUUGCUUUUGUUUUAUUGGGGUGGGGGACAACUUUCUUAAGUAACUAAUACCUACCUGGUCAACUGUGAAAGUGGACUGCUUAUUUCAUUCCGUCACCCAGCAACGACUUUACAACCACUAUCAUGGGCACUGCACUAAAGGUUUGGUGGAAAACAGUAGCACAUAUACCGAAUUCUCACUCUCACAAACUUACACGAUAGUGCUUAAGAAUUUGUAGGCUGGAGCCUGAUUUCCUGUCUUCAAACACAGGCUCCAACUCUCACGGCUAUGUAAUCUUGGGUGGGUUACUUCAUAAUACUUGCCUCUGUUUUCUCAUCUUUAAAAAGUAAAUAACAAUGCCCUGUAUUCAAAAGACUACUGUGAGGAUUAAAUUAGUUAGCACUGUGGGCUGGCACUGUGGGCCACAUAUCUUUCUGUCCUGAGGGCUCUCCUGUGUGUUGCAAGAUGUUUACAGCAGCCCUGGCUUCAAUCCGCUAGCACAACCUUUCCAUCCUCCCUCCCCCACCAGAUGUGACAAAAAUAAGUCUCCAGAUAUGGCUCAAUGUCUCCUAGGAGCAAAAUCACACAGGUGAUUGAGCACCACUGAUCUAGCACGUAUUAAGCAUCCAACAUGCAUUAGCCAUUACUGUAUUUAAUCAUUAGCUGCUUUUGAAGAGUAUAGGAAUAGAAGGGGGGUAACCCUUGCUCUGCCAUUUAUUUCAAAAUCCUGUAUAUAAAAAGCAUGCACUACAGUGUUUUGCAGACCUAAAUCCAUCAACAUUAAUUUCUCUCUUUCCUGCCCAAUCCUUAGUAUUGACUUAAAGUGCAGCCCCUCUCUAAAAUUCUUUUACUUUAUUACUAAAGACUUCAUUUUUAAAAAUUUCUUGAAGAAUAGCUGAUUUACAAUAUUGUGUUAAUUUCUGAUAUAGAGCAAAGUAACUCAGUUAUACAUAUACAUUCUUUUCCACUAUGGCGUAUCACGGAACACUGAAUAGAGUUCCCUAUGUUACACAGUGGGGCCUUGUCGUUUAUCCACCCUGUAUAUAAUAGUUUGCUUCUGCUAAUCCCAAACACCUUCCCUCCCCCAUUCCCCUUGUAAAGACUUCUUUUUUAAUUUCAUUUUUAUUUUUCCCUUUCUAGUCUAUUAGGCAACUCUUUCAACCUUAGUUAUAAUCUUACUGCUGGUCAUUUACUUGGAGGAAUGAUUUCCUGAACAGAAUAAUAUAAAAAAAUAGAAUAAAACUACUCCUACUCCUGAAUGUGAUAUUCCUAUGCCUCCCUGUAUUCCUGCAAGAACUGAAAAGUGACGUCAACAGAUAACCUCUUAGUGUUUGUUUGUUUCAAUUGUUUUUUGUUGAAAAUCUUCCUAAAAUGUAUCAAGUUUGUGCUUUGCUUUAGUAACUAUAAGCUGAUGGCAAUCAAGACAGAAGUUGUCUCUAAUGAUUGAUGAUCAUUCCAGGGCUAACAGCAUCACUGCUCUAAGCAUUGAUCCAUUUUAUACAGGACUGUAGACGUAUAAGAUUGGAGUGCUGAGCACAAAACAUAUAUCUGCUGUUCAAGGUUUCAAAUUAGUUGUGCCUGUUUAAAAUUACAAGGAAAUAUUGUGUUCCCUAAAUUAUAUCUUAGGGACAUCACUACAAGUAAAUAUUAAACACUGACAAAACGUGAAGGAGAUUAAGAGGGGAUCGUGUGCAGGAGAAUUUUAAUUUUACAGCCUCUUGAA
rnacentral:lncRNA from 1 species